ACAUUGGUGGUCGGCUCUGGCUU
rnacentral:siRNA from 1 species